UGUUUAACGGCCGCGGUAUUUUAACCGCGCGAAGGUAGCGUAAUCACUUGUCUUUUAAAUGGAGACCUGUAUGAAUGGCAUAACGAGGGUUUUACUGUCUCCUCCCCCCAGUCAAUGAAAUUGAUCUCCCCGUGCAGAAGCGGGGAUAGUAACAUAAGACGAGAAGACCCUAUGGAGCUUCAGGCAAAUGAUCAAGCUCACGAAGUCCUAGCAUUAAAUAAGUGUAGGAAAAGCAUAAAGCGUAUGAUCAAAGUGCCUUCGGUUGGGGCGACCAUGGAGGAAAGAAAAGCCUCCACGUGGAACGGGAAAACCCUUGAACUAAGAAGAACAACUCUAAGUACCAGAAAAUCUGACCAAGAAUGACCCAGACUUAAAUCUGAUCAACGAACCGAGUUACCCUAGGGAUAACAGCGCGAUCCCCUCCCAGAGUCCAUAUCGACGAGGGGGUUUACGACCUCGAUGUUGGAUCAGGACAUCCUAUUGGUGCAGCCGCUAUUAAGGGUUCGUUUGUUCAACGAU
rnacentral:rRNA from 1 species